UACGGAGGGUGCAAGCGUUAUCCGGAUUUACUGGGCGUAAAGGGCCAGUAGGCGGCCAACUAAGUCGGAUGUGAAAUCCCCAGGCUUAACCUGGGAACUGCAUCCGAUACUGGAUGGCUUGAAUUCGGGAGAGGGAUGCAGAAUUCCAGGUGUAGCGGUGAAAUGCGUAGAUAUCUGGAGGAAUACCGGUGGCGAAGGCGGCAUCCUGGACCGACAUUGACGCUGAACGGCGAAAGCUAGGGGAGCAAACGGG
rnacentral:rRNA from 1 species